rnacentral:rRNA from 1 species
CGCUGGCGGCGUGCCUAAUACAUGCAAGUCGAACGCACUCUCGUUUAGAUUGAAGGAGCUUGCUCCUGAUUGAUAAACAUUUGAGUGAGUGGCGGACGGGUGAGUAACACGUGGGUAACCUGCCCUAAAGUGGGGAUAACAUUUGGAAACAGAUGCUAAUACCGCAUAAAACCUAACACCGCAUGGUGUAGGGUUGAAAGAUGGUUUCGGCUAUCACUUUAGGAUGGACCCGCGGUGCAUUAGUUAGUUGGUGAGGUAAAGGCUCACCAAGACCGUGAUGCAUAGCCGACCUGAGAGGGUAAUCGGCCACACUGGGACUGAGACACGGCCCAGACUCCUACGGGAGGCAGCAGUAGGGAAUCUUCCACAAUGGACGAAAGUCUGAUGGAGCAACGCCGCGUGAGUGAAGAAGGUUUCGGAUCGUAAAACUCUGUUGUUGGAGAAGAAUGUAUCUGAUAGUAACUGAUCAGGUAGUGACGGUAUCCAACCAGAAAGCCACGGCUAACUACGUG